UACGUAGGGUGCGAGCGUUAAUCGGAAUUACUGGGCGUAAAGCGUGCGCAGGCGGUUCGUUAAGUCAGCUGUGAAAGCCCCGGGCUCAACCUGGGAAUUGCGGUUGAAACUGGCGAACUAGAAUCUGGCAGAGAGGGGUGGAAUUCCACGUGUAGCAGUGAAAUGCGUAGAGAUGUGGAGGAACACCGGUGGCGAAGGCGGGUCUCUGGGCCGAUACUGACGCUGAGGAGCGAAAGCGUGGGGAGCGAACAGG
rnacentral:rRNA from 1 species